rnacentral:tRNA from 1 species
GCCGAGGUAGCUCAGGGGUAGAGCAACGGACUGAAAAUCCGUGUGUCGCCAGUUCAAUUCUGGCCCUCGGCACCA